rnacentral:lncRNA from 1 species
GACUUUAAUGAAUACAUCAAACACAGUACCCUCAGAUUAUUUGCAGAUGAUAGUAUAAUUAAUAAAACAAUUCGAAACAAAGAAGACACGCAAAAACUGCAAGAAGACCUCACAUCAGCAGCUAAAUGGGAAAAGGACUGGCUCAUGUCAUUCCAUCCAGACAAGUGUUCAGUCCUUCAGAUAACAACCAAGAAAAACCCAUUAAAAUUUGACUAUACUCUCCACCAACAUGUACUACAAAAAGAAACAUUCACAAAAUAUCUGGGAA